UAGAGAAAACAGGGCUAUCAUGGUGAUUUU
rnacentral:piRNA from 1 species